UUCACAUGAGAUGCUUGCACCUUCUAACAAGUACGAUCAAGAAACAACUAAACCUAUUGAGAAGAUACAAAGACGGCUUGCGCAAAACCGUGAGGCUGCUCGUAAAAGCCGAUUGCGGAAAAAGGCUUAUGUUCAACAGUUGGAAAAUAGUCGUUUAAAGCUGAUUCAAUUGGAGCAAGAGCUUGCACAGAUG